rnacentral:rRNA from 1 species
UGCAAGUCGAGCGGGAUUCAUGAGGACGAAACUUCGGUCUAGAAAUCAUGAUGAGAGCGGCGGACGGGUGAGUAACGCGUAGGCAACCUGCCCUUAACACAGGGAUAGCCUCGGGAAACCGGGAUUAAAACCUGAUAAUGCCAAAGAGUCACAUGGCUCUUUGGCCAAAGAUUUAUCGGUUAAGGAUGGGCCUGCGUCUGAUUAGUUAGUUGGUGGGGUAACGGCCUACCAAGACGACGAUCAGUAGCCGACCUGAGAGGGUGAUCGGCCACAUUGGAACUGAGACACGGUCCAAACUCCUACGGGAGGCAGCAGUGGGGAAUAUUGCACAAUGGGCGAAAGCCUGAUGCAGCAACGCCGCGUGAGCGAUGAAGGCCUUUGGGUCGUAAAGCUCUGUCCUAGGGGACGAACAAAAUGACGGUACCCUUGGAGGAAGCCCCGGCUAACUACGUGCCAGCAGCCGCGGUAAUACGUAGGGGGCAAGCGUUAUCCGGAAUUAUUGGGCGUAAAGAGUACGUAGGUGGUCUCUUAAGCGCAGGGUUUAAGGCAAUGGCUUAACCAUUGUUCGCCCUGUGAACUGGGAGACUUGAGUGCAGGAGAGGAAAGCGGAAUUCCUAGUGUAGCGGUGAAAUGCGUAGAUAUUAGGAGGAACACCAGUGGCGAAGGCGGCUUUCUGGACUGUAACUGACACUGAGGUACG